GAGACCUCAGGUCAGGCG
rnacentral:rRNA from 1 species